rnacentral:rRNA from 1 species
UACGUAUGGGGCAAGCGUUAUCCGGAUUCAUUGGGCGUAAAGAGCGCGUAGGCGGCUUGUUAAGCGAGGUGUGAAAUCCGGGGGCUCAACCCGCGGCUUGCAUCUCGAACUGGCAGGCUUGAGUCUGGUAGAGGAAAGUGGAAUUCCCAGUGUAGCGGUGAAAUGCGCAGAUAUUGGGAGGAACACCAGUGGCGAAGGCGGCUUUCUGGGCCACGACUGACGCUGAGGCGCGAAAGCUAGGGGAGCAAACAGG